GUUAAGUCGACCGCCUGGGGAGUACGGCCGCAAGGUUAAAACUCAAAUGAAUUGACGGGGGCCCGCACAAGCGGUGGAGCAUGUGGUUUAAUUCGAUGCAACGCGAAGAACCUUACCUGGUCUUGACAUCCACAGAAGUUUUCAGAGAUGGAUUGGUGCCUUCGGGAACUGUGAGACAGGUGCUGCAUGGCUGUCGUCAGCUCGUGUUGUGAAAUGUUGGGUUAAGUCCCGCAACGAGCGCAACCCUUAUCCUUUGUUGCCAGCGGUCCGGCCGGGAACUCAAAGGAGACUGCCAGUGAUAAACUGGAGGAAGGUGGGGAUGACGUCAAGUCAUCAUGGCCCUUACGACCAGGGCUACACACGUGCUACAAUGGCGCAUACAAAGAGAAGCGACCUCGCGAGAGCAAGCGGACCUCAUAAAGUGCGUCGUAGUCCGGAUUGGAGUCUGCAACUCGACUCCAUGAAGUCGGAAUCGCUAGUAAUCGUGGAUCAGAAUGCCACGGUGAAUACGUUCCCGGGCCUUGUACACACCGCCCGUCACACCAUGGGAGUGGGUUGCAAAAGAAGUAGGUAGCUUAACCUUCGGGAGGGCGCUAC
rnacentral:rRNA from 1 species